rnacentral:rRNA from 1 species
GAUGAACGCUGGCGGCGUGCCUAACACAUGCAAGUCGAGCGAAAAGACGCUGAGCUUGCUCCUCUGACGUUAGCGGCGGACGGGUGAGUCACACGUGGAUAACCUACCUAUAAGACUGGGAUAACUUCGGGAAACCGGCGCUAAUACCGGAUAAUAUAUUGAACCGCAUGGUUCAAUAGUGAAAGACGGUUUUGCUGUCACUUAUAGAUGGUUCCGCGCUGGAUUAGCUAGUUGGUAAGGUAACGGCUUACCAAGGCAACGAUGCGUAGCCGAGGGGAGAGAGUGAUCGGCCACACUGGAAGUUAGACACGGUCCAGGCUCCUACGAGAAGCAGCAGUAGGGAAUGUUCCGCAAUGGUCGAGAGCAUGACGGAGCAACGCCGCGGGAGAGAUGAAGGUCUUCGGAUCGUAAAGCGCUGUUGUUGGGUAAAAACAAGUGUGUAAGUAACUAUGCACAUCUUGACGGUACCUAAUCAGAAAGCCACGGCUAACUACGUG